rnacentral:rRNA from 1 species
AGUGAACGCUGGCGGUAGGCCUAACACAUGCAAGUCGAACGGCAGCACAGUAAGAGCUUGCUCUUACGGGUGGCGAGUGGCGGACGGGUGAGGAAUACAUCGGAAUCUACUUUUUCGUGGGGGAUAACGUAGGUAAACUUACGCUAAUACCGCAUACGACCUACGGGUGAAAGCAGGGGAUCUUCGGACCUUGCGCGAUUGAAUGAGCCGAUGUCGGAUUAGCUAGUUGGCGGGGUAAAGGCCCACCAAGGCAACGAUCCGUAGCUGGUCUGAGAGGAUGAUCAGCCACACUGGAACUGAGACACGGUCCAGACUCCUACGGGAGGCAGCAGUGGGGAAUAUUGGACAAUGGGCGCAAGCCUGAUCCAGCCAUACCGCGUGGGUGAAGAAGGCCUUCGGGUUGUAAAGCCCUUUUGUUGGGAAAGAAAAGCAGCAUGUUAAUACCCCGCUGUUCUGACGGUACCCAAAGAAUAAGCACCGGCUAACUUCGUG